AUGGCUUCCUCUCUACUCCUUUCCUUUCUCCUAUACUCGCUGAUUCUUCAAUCCGUCGGUGUUGUAGCUCAAACCAAUAGUACUAUAGCCAUUGGUGAUUCUUUUACUGCUGAAACCAGCAACUCUACAUGGUUACUUUCACCUUCUGGUGACUUUGCCUUUGGUUUUCUUCCAAUACAAGACACUGACCUUUUUUUGCUUUCCAUUUGGUAUGCAAAAAUUCCUGAAAAAACUGUUGUGUGGUAUGCUAAUAGAGAAAUUCCUGCACCAAAAGGUUCAAAAGUGGAACUCAAUGCCGAUGAUGGGUUGGUGCUAACUUCUCCAAAUGGUGUCGGGUUAUGGAAUACUACUGAGGAACUUAGUGCUAAAGUUUCCCAUGGUGUGUUCAACGAUACUGGUAACUUUGUGCUCGAGGGUGGUGGUUGGGAGACUUUCAAGUAUCCUAGUGACACCUUGUUGCCUUCUCAGUUUCUUCAAAAAGGUGGAAGCCUUUCUUCAAGGCUUAAGGAGUCAAAUUUCAGUAAAGGAAGGUUUGAGCUUGUUUUACAAAAUGAUGGUAAUCUUGUUAUUCAUUCUAUUAAUUUACCAUCUGGUAGUGCUAAUGAAAACUACUAUGAAAGUGGAACUGUGGAAUCCAAUACUUCAAGUGCUGGAACUCAAUUGGUCUUUGACAGAUCAGGGUACUUGUAUGUCUUGGGAGAGAACAAUGAGAAAUACAAUGUGUCAGAGCAAGAGAGUAAAGUCUCUACCACUCUUUAUUAUCUUAGAGCAACUCUUAAUUUUGAUGGUGUGUUCGCAGUUUACAAGCAUCCGAAGAAUUCAAUUGAUGGUGAAGGUUGGACCACAGUGUGGUCUAAGCCUGAUAAUAUAUGUACUUAUAUUGUUAGUGCAGGUAGUGGUGUUUGUGGAUAUAAUAGCUUAUGCACUUUGGAAGUUGAUAAGAGACCGAAAUGUCAGUGUCCAAAACGAUACUCGCUGGUUGAUCCUGAAGAUCCAUUUGGUAGCUGCAAGCCAGACUUCAUACAAGGAUGUGCAGAAGAUGAACCAAGUAAAAACAGAAAUGAUCUCUAUGAGUUUGAGACUAUGACUGACAUUGAUUGGCCUUACUCAGAUUUUGUGCUUCAAAAGCCUUUUAAUGAAAAACAAUGUAAGGAAUCUUGUAUGGAAGAUUGCAUGUGUUAUGUGGCUAUUUUCAGGUACGGUGAUAGUUGUUGGAAGAAGAGGUUACCACUUUCAAAUGGGAGAGUUGAUGCAACUCUUAAUGAUGCUAAGGCUUUCUUGAAAGUGAGAAAAGAUAAUACAUCCCUUGUUCCUCUAAAUCCAACCAUUGUGAACAAGACUAAUAAUAGGGAAACGUUGGUUUUGGCUGGUUCUGUGCUUUUGGGUAGUUCUGCUGUUCUCAAUGCUGUAUUGAUUGUAGCUAUCUGUAUCAGCACCUCCCUCAUUUUUAAGUACAAGAAGAAGCUUAGAAGAGUUAGCAAAAGUGACGCUAGUUUUGAAAUUGAAUCCCAUUUGCGUUGCUUCACUUAUGCAGAGCUUGAAGAAGCUACUAAUGGAUUCGACAAAGAGCUAGGAAGGGGAGCUUUUGGUAUUGUUUAUGAAGGAGUCGUCAACAACAACACCGCUUCCAAAGCUCGUGUGGCAGUAAAAAAGUUGAACAGUUUUAUGUUGGAUCAAGCUCAUAAGGAAUUUAGGAAUGAACUGAAUGCCAUUGGUCUCACUCAUCACAAGAACUUGGUUCGUUUACUUGGAUUUUGUGAGAGUGGAAGUGAAAGACUGCUUGUUUAUGAGUACAUGAGCAAUAGCACUUUGGCAAGUUUUCUUUUCAAUGAAGAAAAACAGAAGCCAAAUUGGAAACUAAGGCUAGAACUUGCAAUAGGAAUAGCUAGAGGACUUGUGUAUUUACAUGAAGAGUGCAUCACUAGGAUCAUUCAUUGUGACAUAAAGCCUCAAAACAUACUCCUUGAUGAUUACUUCAAUGCAAGAAUUUCUGAUUUUGGAUUAGCAAAGUUGUUGAACAUGAAUCAAAGCAAAACCAACACCGGCAUAAGAGGAAUAAAAGGGUAUGUUGCACUUGAAUGGUUUAAAAACAUGCCUAUCACAGCUAAGGUGGAUGUGUAUAGUUAUGGUGUAGUGCUACUUGAGAUAAUUUCAUGUAGAAAAUGUGUUGAAGAAAUGGAUGAAGAAGAUGAAGACAAAGCAAUUUUAACUGAUUGGGCUUAUGAUUGCUACAAUGAUGGUGCUUUAGAUGCAUUGGUUGAGGGUGACAAUGAAGCAUUGGAGGACAAGGAAAAUUUGGAGAAAUUGGUAAUGAUUGCUCUUUGGUGUGUUCAAGAGGAUCCAUGUCUUAGACCAACCAUGAGAAAUGUGGUACAUAUGCUUGAAGGUACUGUUGAAGUGCAAGUUCCACCAUACCCCUCACCAAUUAGUAUUCAAUAUUCUCUAAAUUAAUAAGUUGGGAAGCAAAGAUUGGCAACUUGUGCUAAUACUUGCGCUCUUUUUAAGUGUACCGUGUAAUAUUUGCAUUUAUGUUUGUGUUCAAGAUGUGAUUUCCAUAUUAAGGUAGGUCCCAAUAUAGAAUAAAAAUAUUUAAUUUUUAGGUUAUGCUAGGCAUUUGUUAAAGAUUCAAAAAGGAAUUAAUUAUUAAAUUUUAUGUGAAAAAAGUUGUUUUUUAAUCUUUUAAUAAGUUGAAUACACAAUUUUUAAGAUAAAGUUGCUACUUUAAACUUAUUAUCCAGUGUCUUAGAGCAUCCGUUAGCAUUUCCCUUAAUUUUAUUAUAAAAUAAUUAUAAAGUAAUGUUCAUUAUAAAGUAUUAGUGAAAUAUUUGAAAUGUAAUUUCUUAUUUUGAAACUUUAUGUAUAAUAUUCAUUGUUUUAAGGAUGUAUAAUAUUCAUUUUUUAUAGUCUCCUUUAUUUGCAAAUGUUAUACGUCACUCAACUUAUACUACACAACUUAACAACAAUAAAAAUAUUGUGAGAAUCGGUUUUUCCAUCUCUCUGAAAACGACUGUCAUGUAAGCACUCGAAUCUAUGCUUAUUUUCAACUCCUUGAGUUAAAAAAUGAAUGACCAAAAUAAAUAUUAUGUACCUUCAAAAUAAAAAUAUUAUGUAAAAAGUAAAGGGAAAAAAAUAUAUUUUACACAAACUCCAAAAAAAUGCCAGCCCGAGUAACUCAAAUCACCGGGAGCACUCAUGAUUUCAUCAAUUAAAAGCGGGUAUAAUAUCAAUCAUUGAUUUGUGAUUAAACAAAUCAAUGGUUGAUAUUAUAGACACAUAUAUAGGAGCAAAUAUUGACUAGUUAUAAGUUGUUAUAAUAUUAAUCUUUAAUUUUUUUUUACUUUACAAAUUACUCAAUUCAUAGGUCCCUAAAAUAUACCGUGUUCUCUCAUUUAUUUUGCUUAGUUAGAUAUUAAUUUGAGACGGUUAUGGUGGAACCAUGGAGGUAUUAUCUUUUCUCAUUUUCAAGAAAGCCUUAGCACCAUUAAGAGUUGCAUCAACUCUCCCAUUUGAGAGUGGUAAAGUUAAAUUCUGGCUUGCAGCUGCCAGAUGGAUCACCAAGAAUAUUUUUGCUAUGUUUCAACUUUUACUUUAAACUAUCUUAGUUUAUAGUCUUACAGGGUUCAAAUUUGAUGCAAUCACACAUUAGUAGAGUAAUAAUGUGCUGAUUCCACUUUGCCAUUCUAGUGAAAUUAAGAAACAAAGGUUUUUUUUUUUUUUUACAAAAUUUUAAGAAACAAAUAUUGAGAAACAAUUAACUACUCCUAGCUAGCUUGUACAUCAAGCUACUUCUAUUUCCUUCUCAACCUUACAGUUAAUUAGUGCGUUGCCAAGAAAAUAGAAUGCAACUAAUCUGCAAGGUUUAAUUCAAGGAAAAGAGGGGGAGCUCAUCUUAAGACAAUGGGUUUAUGGGGGAGCUCAUCUUAAGACAAUGGGUUUAUGAGUCCUCUUACUUAUAAGGUGUUCAACAUUUACUAUUUCAUCCGAUGUGGAACAUAUAUAACUCACACUUUCAAUCCAUUGCUGCUUUCUACGCAAACGGACCGGCUGCCUUGGUCCUACCUUUUGUCGAACGGGGCUCUGAUACCACUGUUGGGUCACUGAGGGGGAGCUCGGGGGACCGUCCACAUCGAGGCUAGAACAACCACACAAGAUAGAGAGACGCCAUACCACUGUUGGGUCACUGAGGGGGAGCUCGGGGGACCGUCCACAUCGAGGCUAAUGGAUUUAUGGGUCCUCAACACUCCCCUAAAGUGUGAGUCCAUCAAUUCAUCGAGCUCCCCCUCAAGCGGAAGCUCUUACUUGCUUUGUAUCGCCGUUGCUGGUUUCUCCUCAAACGGACCGACACUUUCUACGCAAACGGACCGGCUGCCUUGGUCCUACCCUUUGUCGAACGAGGCUCUGAUACCACUGUUGGGUCACUGAGAGGGAGCUCGGAGGACCGUCCACAUCGAGGCUAGAACAACCACACAAGCAAGAGAGAUGCCACACUCUUACCCAAAACCUUAAGGCAAUGGGUUUAUGGGUCCUUUUACUUAUAAAGUGUUCAACCUUUACUAUUUUAUCCGAUGUGGGACAUAUAACUCACACUUGUACACAACAACAAAUAUCAUUGAGCAUUUGUCUAUUUAAUUUAUGUCACGUCAGAUUAUACAGUGUAUUGCACAUCUGUCCAUAAGGUGUGUCAUUAUAUCUUUACUUAUUGCAAUUGUGUCCCUGAUUAAAUCAAAAUUAAACUUAGAUUCCCAUUUAUGCACUAAGAUUGAAAUUCCCUUAAUAUUUUGUAUGAUGAUUGAUUUGUAAUAAGGUAAAGUUUAGUUUUAGAGUGGUCCACCAGCAAGACACUUGUUGACAUGACAUCAGCAAUUCUACUAUUGGCUAAACAAAAUAAUUUUUUUAAAAAAGUCAAUUUUCUGACUGCACUGUAAAAGUCUCCUUAAUUCAAUUGAUAAAUAUCGAUAUUAUUAGACUAGAUAUUUUGACCCUAGUUCGAACCCGUAACUUUGAAGUUUCGUACGGGUUUCAUCGUUGAUUGACACUUCUACAUACCAAACAAAAAUUAGCAUGCAACUAGACCCCACAACCAUACAAUUUUCUUAAAUUUCAAUUUUACUCCCAUAUUUUUAAUUAAAAUAAAAAAAAUCUCUGGAAUUUUUUAAAAAUUUCUUUCAAGUGUUUUAAAAUUACGAGAAAUAGUUAUGACACUACCUCACAUCAAGAUUAUUUAGUCACAUUACUUGAUAUAUAUAAUUUCUCUUUUAAAUUUUAUUAAUCAUGGUGUACGCCUAAAUAAAUUUUAUUUGAGGUUAUGUCUAUGGAGAAAUGGAGAGGAUACAAAAUGAAGAAGAUCUUGACUCUCUAAAAUUACACUAUCUCUUGUAUUAAACCCUCCUCCUCUACUUCUCUUCCUUGACCAUUCUCAUUGGGUUCUUAGCAGUUCACAAAAACAGAAUGGUCGCAUAUUUCUAUAGAGGUUGUAUGUGUUAAAGGGAAGGAAAGUGUAUCAUACGUUUGUUAUUUCCAAAGUAUAACGAGACUUGUGCGUUGAUUUAGUAUGAGUUGACCAAAGUCUACACAAAGAAUAUUCAACACAUAGAAAGACUAGUAGUGGUGACUUUCGUGCUUUAAAUUUGAUGGACACAAAAAAUAUCUAUUUACUAUCAAAAUUAUAUGGACCAAAUUGAUUCAGAAUCUAGCUAGACUUCAUCUCCACUUCCCUUUCUAGUCUAUUCACCCAUAUAUUGUGGCUCAAUGAGGUGAUGUGGCAAAAAAUCUAGGUUUUAGUUUUAGACCUAAGAGAAGUGAUGUGGGAAACCAUUUAUUAACAUGGCAUAUGACUUGCUUUUGAAAAAUCAUUUACAAAUUAACCAAGUACUUAUGGUCAAAUGAUAAAUGAAUAGAAUAAUUCUUGUUCAGGUUAUACUUAUCUCACGAUCAAAAUCUGAAUUACCAGAAUCCUCGUCUCAUGAGAACUGUUAAUACCAAAAAAGGAAUCAUUCAGAUGAAUUUCUAUCAGCUAGGUUUUAUGAUACAUCAAUAUUUUUUUGUUUUCAUAUAACCCCUUUUGAAUCUAUAUAACUUAGCUAAGUAUCAAAAAACUGGAUUUUGAAAAGGGAAAACCAAUUUAGAAAAUGUGAUAAUAGGAGAACAAAACUAUAAUUAAACUUACUCUAUUGUCGGCAAAUGACAUUUCUCUAGUAUAUCUAAUAGAACAAUAAAAGUAUAGUUCAUAUUUUACCCUGCUCGAGGGUGGCGGUUGGGAGACUUUCAAGUUUCCUAGUGACACCUUGUUGCCUUCUCAGGUUCUUCAAAAAGAUGGAAAGCUUUCUUCAAGGCUAAGGGAGUCAAAUUUCAGUGAAGGAAGGUUUGAGCUUCUUUUAGAAGAUACUGGUGAUCUUGUUAUGUAUUCUAUUAAUUUACCAUCUGAUUAUGCUAAUGAAGUCUACUAUGAAAGUAAAACUGUUGGAUCCAAUACUUCAAGUGCUGCAACUCUACUGGUCUUUGACAGAUCAGGAGACUUGUAUCUCUUGAGAGAGAACAAUGGUAAAUUCUAUAUGUCAGGAGAAGAUGGGCCGGGCAGAAGAUGAAGAGAGUAAAGUCUCCACAACUGAUUUUUAUCUUAGAGCAACAAUUAAUUUUGAUGGAGUGUUUUCACUUUUCAAGCAUCCGAAGAAUUCAACUGAUAUUGGAAAUUGGACUACAGUGUGGUCUCAUCCUCGAAAUAUAUGUCAUUAUUUUGUUACUGAAGGUAGUGGUGUUUGUGGAUAUAAUAGCAUAUGCACUUUGGGAGAUGAUACGAGACCAGCAUUUCGGUGUCCAGAUAGUUACUCACUAGUUGAUCCUGACUAUCCUUAUGGUAGCUGCAAGCCAGAUUUCGUACAAGGAUGUGCAGAAGAUGAACUAUGUAAAACAAAGGAUCUAUAUGAGUUUCAGAUUUUGAUCAGAUGCCGUGCUUCUAGAGCCUUUUACUGAAGAACGAUGCAUGAAAGCUUGCAUGGAAGAUUGUUUGUGUUCUGUGGCUAUUUUCAGGGACGGUAGUAGUUGUUUUAAAAAGAAGUUACCACUCUCAAAUGGGAGAGUUGAUGCAACACUUGAUGGUGCUAAGGCCUUCUUAAAAGUGAGAAAAGAUAACGCCUCCACUCUCAAAUGGAAGAUUGUUUUGUGUUCUAGAGGUUUACUGUGAAAAAGGGAAGAAAAGAGUGUCAUACGUUUGUUAUCUCCCAAAGUCUACAUAGAACAUUCAAACAUAGAAAAACCAGUAGAGACUUACGUGCUUUAAUUUUGAUAGACACAAAAUAUCUAUUUACUACCAAAAUCAUAUGGACCAAAUUGAUUCAGAAGGCUUCCUCUCUAAUUUCCUUUCUCCUCUAAUCACUGAUUCUUCAAUUUAUCUUUGUUGUGUAGCUCAGUGAGGUGAUGUGGCAAAAAAUUUAGGGUUUUAACCUAAAAGAAGUCGUGUUGGAAAAAAACUAUACUGUGGCAUCAAACUUGAUCCAGGUUGGUCCAAGUCUACAAAAAGAUUAUUCAAAUGAUAGCAAGACUAAUGAAUAAGUGCUGGAAAAUUUAUGGAAACAAACAAUAGCUACAAUACUAUAAAAAAAAGGUUUAUUGAUGUGUUUAGCCCUUGCAAUUAAGCGGCAUUUAAAAAUUCGUCCAUGUAAUUGCUAAUCCUGGCAUUUUAACCCUGCAAUUGUUAAUCGUUUAAAAUUUGGUCCUUGGACCAAAUUAAUCACUGCCACGUCACUAAUUUGAUGACGUGGCAAUCACUGUCACACAUAAAAUUCCAAUUUUGACCUUAAGAAGAGGACAAAAUAUUGAAGAAAGAAUUGGAAACACAGGGGUAAAUUUGGAAUUUCAUGUGGCGUGGCAGUGAUUAAGUGGGGAGAGGGACGAAAUUUUAAAUGAUUAACAAUUGCAGGGUUAAAAUGCCAGGAUUAGCAAUUACAGGGACGAGUUUUUAAAUGCCGCCUAAUUGCAAGAGCUAAACACAUCAAUAAGCCUAAAAAAAACUAUAUGGAUGAAAUUGAUUACAAAAUCUAAACAUCGCUUCCUCUCUACUCCUUUCCUUUUCUCCUAUACUCGCUGAUUCUUCAAUCCAUCGGUGUUGUAGCUCAAACCAAUAGUACUAUAGCCAUUGGUGAUUCUUUUACUGCUGACACCAGCAACUCUACAUGGUUACUUUCACCUUCUGGUGACUUUGCCUUUGGUUUUCUUCCAAUACAAGACACUGACCUUUUUUUGCUUUCCAUUUGGUAUGCAAAAAUUCCUGAAAAAACUGUUGUGUGGUAUGCUAAUAGAGAAAUUCCUGCACCAAAAGGUUCAAAAGUGGAACUCAAUGCCGAUGAUGGGUUGGUGCUAUAACUUCUCCAAAUGGUGUCGGGUUAUGGAAUACUACUGAGGUACUUAGUGCUAAAGUUUCUCGUGGUGUGUUCAACGAUACUGGUAACUUUGUGCUCGAGGGUGCUAGUUGAGAAACUUUCAAGUUUCCUAGGGAAACCUUGUUGCCUUCUCAGUUUCUUCAAAAAGGUCAAAAGCUUUCUUCAAGGCUUAAGGAGUCAAAUUUCAGUAAAGGAAGGUUUGAGCUUCUUUUACAAGAUGAUGGUAAUCUUGUUAUGCAUUCUAUUAAUUUACCAUCUGGUUUUGCUAAUGAAAACUACUAUGAAAGUGAAACUGCGGGAACAGAUACAUCAAGUGCCGGAAUUCGACUGGUCUUUGACAGAUCAGGGGACCUGUAUGUCUUGAGAGAGAACAAUACGAAAUACAAUGUGUCAGAAGAAGAGAGUAAAGUCUCUACCACGCUUUAUUAUCUUAGAGCAACUCUUAAUUUUGAUGGUGUGUUCGCAGUUUACAAGCAUCCGAAGAAUUCAAUUGAUGGUGAAGGUUGGACCACUGUGUGGUCUAAGCCUGAUAAUAUAUGUACUUAUACUGUCAGUGCAGGUAGUGGUGUUUGUGGAUAUAAUAGCUUCUGCACUUUGGGAGUUGAUAAGUGACCAACAUGUCAGUGUCCAAAAAGUUACUCACUGGUUGAUGCCGAUGAUCCACUUGGUACUUGCGAGCCAAACUUCAUGCAAGGAUGUGCAGAAGAUGAACUAAGUAAAAACAGAAAUGAUCUCUAUGAGUUUGAGACUUUGAUUGACGUUGAUUGGUCUAUGUCAGAUUCUGUGCUUCAAAAGCCUUUUACUGAAGAUCAAUGUAUGAAAGUUUGUAUGGAAGAUUGCUAUUGUUCUGUGGCUAUUUUCAGGUUAGGUGAUAGUUGCUGGAAAAAGAAGUUACCACUCUCAAAUGGGAAAUAUGAUCCAACUCUUAAUGGUGCUAAGGCCUUCUUCAAAGUGAGAAAAGAACUGAACACAAAUAAUAAUAAUAAUAAUAAUAAUAAUAAUAAUAAUGAGUUAGGAUCCGUUGACACCUGGUGUCAACAAAUUCAUUGACACCAAAUCCUAACCAUUCUUUAUUUUGAUCUUAAUGGCUCCCAUUUAUUCACUUAAUUGUUAAUGUGGGGACUCUUCAAAGAAAAACAUAUCACACUCUCAUCAUCUUCCUCCUGAGGUCGGGUAUUCUUAUGGUUCGGGUUCUUCCACACACCCAAAUACCAAUUGAUCAUCCCUUUGUUUUCUUGUUUUCGAUUCCAUUCUCCAUCCAAAGUACAAUAAAACUCAUUUUUUUCCUUCACCCAAUUGUCUUUUAUGGGAAUGAAACAAAUCGCUAAAGCUAUUGCAAAGUCGAUUAAUGCAUGGUUGAUUUUUUUGCUUUCUAAUUCCAAUUGCUUACACCAUGUCAUGUAGGAUUUAUUGCCCUUUGCAAGAAACUCUAAUACAUCGUGACAAAAAAAUCCCCCUAUAUAAUUGAAAUUCAAAAUUACAAUUGAAAUUCAAUUUGGGACUAAAUUAAGUUUCAAAGGCUUAAUGUUGGUCCUUACUUCAUUCUUUAUUCUUGUGUGCUCAAUAACAAAAGACCGUCAGGGAAGACUUUCCGGGACAAGGAUUAAGCGGUUUGUUUUUAUUGGAGUAAUUUUUGGGAUUAAUUAAAUCAACAAAUUAUUAUCACGUGAUACACUCACAUAUAAAUCUUUAGUUUCCAUAUUUUCAACCAUUAGAUUAAUUAGAUUGAACGGUUAACAUUUGGUGUCAACGAAUUCGUUGACACCUGGUGUCGACGGAUCCUAACUCAAUAAUAAUAGACAAACUAUGGUCUUGUUUGGUUCUGUGCUUUUGGGUAGCUGUUGAAAUAUAUAUUAUUUCCUUUUAUUAUUAUUAUUCUAUUUUAAUGGUUGUUUAUUUUUCAUUUUUCAUUGGGAAAUGAUAGAUACAGUGACAAAUAACAACUUUAAAUAAUAGAGUAAUUUCUACAUGGCAUCAGAGCCCUCGAUUUUGGUGGCCUUGCUUCGGCAUAAACCUUAGCCUCCAUCACUAUGGCAUCUUUCGUUUUUUUUCUCUUCUGGAUUUGAUAUCCAGCAACAUUGUUCACCAAGUACUAUUCGCGCGUGCAAUGUUCAUCCACGUGGUACUGUUCACGUGCACUAUUCAUCGGAAAGAAGAAGGAAAAAAAAAACUCAAUUUCGUAGCUUACAGUUUGAGUCAGAUCAAAAAGUGAAAAUAAAAAAGGAUGAAUAAAUCUAAGACCAUUUAGGUAAGACAAUCUAAGAGAGAAGGUGUGACGACGGUGGUGAUGGGUAAGACAAUUUUCAACUAAUCAACCGAAGGUCGUGCACUCCAAGAUACUUCUGAUCAAGGGCAGCAGUCUUUCUCAAACUCACUUCCGUCCACUAAUGAACAAUUGUACAAGCUUCUUGAGUCUUAAACAACUUCUCAUAUGUUUUCUUUCGGUUCCAUUGCCCAAAAAGGCAAUUCUUUAGAGUCAGCCCUUCUUAGUGUCAAACUAAGUCGCACUUGGAUUGUUGAUUUAGGGGCUACCGAUCAUAUGACAGGAGAGUCUAGUAUGUUUUCUUCAUAUAGUCCUUGUGCAGGUAAUUUAAAAAUUAAGAUUGCCGAUGGUUCUCUUUUAGUCGUGGCAGGAAAAUGUUCUGUCAUUAUUUCUCCAUUAUUAACUCUUCAAGAUGUUUCACAUGUCCCAAAUUUAUCCUGUAGCCUGUCAGUAACCUGGAAUUAAAGGUGUCAAACUCAUUUUUUUGAUACUUAUUGUUUGUUUUGGGAUUCAAUCUCUGGGACAGUGUAAGCAGAAUGGAGGACUCUACUACAAGAAAUAGUUUGUUCAAAAUUUAAGGAUAUAUUUAUAAUUAAAUAUUUUACCUUCUUGAUUGAAAUAUUCUUCACCUGGAAAAAUGCAUGCAAUUAGACACCAUGACCCUAAUUACACUAUCUCUCGUGAGAGAUCCUAAUAUCACACUUAGCUCUCUUUUUAUGUUUAAAUAUAUACUCAAUCUUUUUCUUUUACAAGUAUCCUUUGGGUACAUAUUUUGUGUUUCUAUUUAAUUAUCGUUUUGAUAGUUUAAGAAUAUGAUUUAUCAAUUAUAUUAUUUUUAUAAUUACUAUUGCUUACAACUUUUCAAUUAAAUUAAUUAAUGUUAUAUGUUUGGAAAAUUCAAGUUUCAUUUUAAAACGAAUAUUGUUUUUUGAAACAAAAUGUUGUUACUUACGAUAAUGAAUCUAUAAUAAUGGAGCAAUAAAGAGUUGAAAUUCUAUAAUAAUGCUACAAAGUGUGAAUCUAGUAUUAGUUAAAGUCAUACUUGGAGCCUAAAUGUUGGUUAAAGGAGUUGAAGGGAAGUUAAGUUUUACUUAGGUGAAUAACAUUUUUUUUUAAGGAAGGUGAAGAACAAGUUUAAAGUUUGAUUAAUGUGAAAUUUUCUUUUGCUUUACUAUUAUUAAAAAAAUUGUGUAGAACAAUGAGACUAUUGAUAAUUGUUUGUCAUGGGAGAGAGAUGGAAUGUGUGUAAACAAAUAAGAAUAAUUGUUUGAAAGAUGAAGACUGUAUAACUUGCUUGUUAUGGGAGAAAAAUAAUAAUUUAUCGGUGAAUUAAAAUGAAGGUAUUAUUGAAAAAACGAUACAAUAAUUCACUUUCUUAAUUUGAGUGUGCUAUUAUAAAACAACACUUUAAAAAUGGAGGGAGUACAAUUUAGUUCAUUUAACAAUAUUGAUAGAGAAUAUUUUUAAAAAUAAAAUAAAAUAAAAUAUACUUCUAAAUUUUAAAUAAUUUUAAAAUAUAUGCUAAAUUAGUUAAAUUUACAAUACUAACCUUUCUAGUUUAAGUUUAUAAAAAUAGAAUGUAUUCAAGGUUGCAUAUUCUAGAGGUUUUAUGUGAAAAAGGGAAGAAAAGUGCAUCAUACAUUUGUUAUAUCUUCCAAGCUAUGAAGCUCUGAUACCUGACAUGAUACAUAUACGAUAUCGAUACGGGCAAAUUUUCAAAAUUUCCGAUACGAUAUGGCCUCGAUACGUUAUUAAAAAAUUAAAUUUAAAAUUAAUAGUAUAAGUGCACAAUGUAUAAUAACUAAAAAUGAUAAUAAAAAAACGUUCACAUUAAUGAAAAUGAUCAAAACAAGUGAUAAUUACAUAUUUUUUCAGCACAAAUUAGAUAGAAUACAACUAAGCAUCAUUAGUACCAUCCAAAGAGAACAUCAUAAGUACUAUAAAAAAAAAAUAACACCUUUGUCUAAUGUUGACUACUUAAUAUUUAACACUAAUUUAUAUCAAAAACAAACAAUUUUUUUCCCAAUUUGAGAGAAGAACCAAAGAAACAUGGCAUUAGAGCAAAGAGAAACAUAGUAGAAUUCAAUUGGUGGUAAUGGUUAGAAGAGGGAAUAGUUAUCGUUAUGUGGUGACGAGAAACCCUAUUUUUUUGGGUUAGAAGAGACAAUAUGUUUUUGAUAGCGCUGCCAAACUUAUAGUUUUAUUUCUAAUUAUUUUCUUUUUCUUUUUUUUUUAAAGGAAAUAUGUAAGACAGAGGUAUCGGUGUCGGAGUAUAAAUUAGCUGUGUCGGAGUACAAGUUAGCUGUAUCAGACACGUAUCGGUAAAUUUUUUUCGAAAAAAUAAAUAUUAAUUGCCCAAUACUUCUCCGAUACACGUAUCGGGACGUAUCAGUAUCAAUACGUGUCGGACAUGAUUCUUCACCAUUUUAAAAAUAUUGGGGCUUUAGAACUGCCAAGGUAUAGCGACUUGUGUGUUGGUUUAGUAUGAGUUGACCAAGUCUACGCAGAACAUUCAACAUAGAAAGACCAGUUGUAGUGACUUACGUGUUUUAAUUUUGAUGGACAAAUAAAUAUCUAUUACUAUCAAAAUUAUAUGGACCAGAUUGAUUAAGAAUCUAGAUAAAGGCUUCCUCUCUACUUUCCUUUCUCCUCUAAUCACUGAUUCUUCAAUUUAUCUUUGUUGUGGCAAAAAAAAUUAGGUUUUUGACCUAAAAGAAGUCGUGUGGCAAAAAAAAUAAAAAUGCGGCCUAAAACUUGAUGAUGUGGAAUCAUCGGAUGAACCGAUACUAUACAGGAUUUAUGACACGUCAAUAAAAGAUUGAAUUAUACAACCACAAAAUUCGAUCAUAUAAGAAUGAUUAUAAUUUUUUCUCUAUUUUGGCGUAGAUACAUUGGACUAUGAGGAUGGAGGGGAAAAAAAUGGAAGUUAUUAGAUGUUGCGAGUGCAUAGUAUGAUAGUAACAUGCUUCUCAAAUCCAACGUUUGGGGUUGAAAUCUAACAUAUUAGACCAACAAAAAUAGUUAUGGAGAUAAAAUUGAAAAUACAAAAUAGGUUAAGGGACCAAAUACGAAAUUUAGUCUAGAAAGACUAAAACUAUAAUUAAUUAGUCCUUAUCUUAUGUCAAGUAUAACUUGUUGCACUACUUUAUCUGAAUUCUGUUCUGGUUGCAUGAGUUGCAUGAUAUCCAAGAGAAUAACUUGUUGCACCAUUUCUAAGCUAUUGAUCUUCACAUGCUGUCAACAUGAUUUAAAUUAGUAUACCAUUUGGAUAACUGAAGAAAAACUUGACCACACUCAAUGUGAUUGAAGAAAGUGAAUCGCGGGCACGAUAAUAACAUUUGCAUCCUAAGUACUAAAAUUUCCAAUUGGAUUUACAUGUACAAUAUGAUGUAAAAGUUUCAGUUUUCAUUUUGAAAUUGACAAUGUAAUCUUUAAAGAAUAUUUUUCUCUUGAUGAAAUUCGACUUAGGGAAAGUGUUGUGCAUUGCGACUAGUCUAUUACUUGCACAAAGUAAUUGUUGCUUUUGCAGAAAUAAUUUAUUCUACAGUAAGUGUCGUUUUACUUUUUCAAUAUAUGAUUAUCAGAAUUAAUUUAUUUAUUUAUUUCAAUUUUAAUCUCGAAUUAAUAGCAGAAAAAAAAUAUGAUUAUCAGUUGCACCGGUAUAAUACACUUGCAUAUUUUUAUUCUAUAUUGCAGUUUACCUUAAUAUGGAAACCACAGUCACAGCCGUAUACACGGACACACUACUAGUCUUGAAGGUACAUAAAACUACAGGUUGAUACACACACAUAAAAGCAAAUAUUACAGUACACUUGCAACAACAUAAUAAGAAUUAGCACAAGCUGCCAAUCUUCCUUACAAAGUUAUUAAUUUAGAGAAUAUUCAAUACUAAUUGGUGAAGGGUGUAUGGUGGAACUUGCACUUCAACAGUACCUUCAAGCAGGGCCGUCUCUGAGAAUUCGGAGGCUCGGCUCUGGAAAUGAAAAGAGGCCAGUGAUAAAAUCAAAACAUAAUUUUUUUUAAAAGAGCAAUAUACUAUUUAUAUUUUUUAAAAGAUAAAUACAAGGUGCCGUAUAUAUGCGGUACACCUAGAGAUGAAAAUGACUACCGUAUACACGAGGAACCCUCACCUAACACCAAAAUCAAGAGGAACUAAUUCUAAUAAUCCUAAAAGAGGCCCAUCCUUGUGAGGGAAUGAAAUAAUCUUAGGGGGCCUAAGAGAUAUUAAGGGGGCCUAAAAAGAAACCACCAUUAUACUGGAUAUAAAAUAAAUAAAAAAUGAGGCCCAUCCUUGAGGGAGGCCCAGCUCGUUUGAGCUGUUUGCACCCCCUCAGAAACGCCCCUGCCUUCAAGCAUAUGUAUCACAUUUCUCAUGGUUGGUCUAAGAUAUGGAUCCUCUUGAACACACCAAAUAGCAAUCUUUACCAAUUUCUCCAAAUUUUCCUUGUCCUUCAAUGCCUCAUUGUCACCCUCAACCAAGGGAUCUAGAAUACCUUCUUUGUAGCAGUCAUAAGCCCAUUCAGUUAAGAUAGCUUUGUAUUCAUUUUCUUGAUCCAUUUCUUCAACACAUCUUCUACAUGAAAUUAUGUGAAAAAAAGAUGUUUUUUAAACUUUCAAUAAAUUGAAUACACAAUUUCUAAGAUAAAGUUGUUACUUUAAGCUUCUUAUCAAGUGCUCUUAGAUAGGUAGGGGAGCCAGUAAUUUUGAAUAGUGGAGGCACCAUUACACGAAAUUUGUUAGGAGGAAAAGUAUGCGUGUUUGAUUUUAUGGUUGCAUGAAACAAGGAGGAAGAGUUUUCAUUUUUCUCAUUGAGAAAGAGAUAAUCAUAGGUGGAUUUAAAAAUAAAAUCUCACAAAAAUGGAUGUGAUAUGAAUAUUGCUCCCACUUUUAAAUAUUUAUCCAUGUCAUCUCUCAACCGAUGUGAGACAUUUUAACAUAUAGUGAGACGGGGUGUAAUAAAAACUACUUAUUUUAACUUAAAAAUAAAUAAAUAUAUGAGAGAGUGUAACAUGAUUUGUUUGUGUGGAUAAAUUGCCGGCAAAAUAAAGUGAAUAAGUUGAGUGCAAAAUCUAUAUGGGGUAUAUUCCAAUUCAUAUAUUUAAUUUGCCUGCAAAAUCUAAUAGUGGUAUAUUACAAGUAUGGUGUGUGGCUCCGUCACUACUCUUAGGGCACUUAGUAGCAUUUUCCUUAAUUUUAUUAUAAAAUAAUUAUAAAGUAAUGUUCAUUAUAAAGUAUUAGGGUGUGUUUGUUUCAAGUUUAUCAAAUUUAUUCAUAGGAAUAACAUUCCUUGAAAUAUAAAGAUGGGAAUUUUAUUCGAAGGAAUUUAGAAAAAAUAUGUUUGGUUAUCUUUAUAAUAUUCCUAGGAAUCAUAAAAAUAGGGAUUAUAAUAGGUAAACUAUUUAUGAAUUUAUUCUCAUCUCCAUGGGAACUUUAUUCCCACCCUUUUCUUUGGAAAUUUUUUUCUAUUCCCAGGAACAUUUUAUACCCGGGAAUAAAAUUUAGUAAACUUGUAACAAACAUAGGCAUAUACAUUCCUAUCAUUUUAUUCCCGGGAAUCAACAAUUAUAACUUGAAACAAACGCACAGUGAAAUAUUUGAAAUGUAAUUUCUUAUUUUGAAACUUUAUGUUUAAUAUUCAUUUUUUCAAGGAUGUAUAAUAUUUUUUAUAGUCUCGUUUACUUGCAAAUGUUAUACCUCACUAAACUUAUACUACACAACUUUUUUUUUUUGAGAGGGUUAUACUACACAACUUAACAACAAUAAAAAUAUCGUGAGAAUCGGUUUUUCUAUCUCUGUAAAUUUAUGGACCCUAAUUCAAUUGAAAACGACUGUCAUGUAAGCACUCGGAUCUAUGCUUAUUUUCAUCUCCUCAAAUUAAAAAAUGAAUGACCAAAAUAAAUAUUAUGUAAAAAGUAAAGGAAAAUAUGCAUAUUUUACACAACUCCAAAAAAUACCAACCCGGGUAACUCAAAUCAUUGGGAGCACUCAUGAUCUCAUCAAUUAAAAACGGCUAAUAUCAAUCGUUGAUUAAAUAAAUCAAUAGUUGAUAUUAUGGACACAUGUAUAACAAUCUUGAGUAGUUUUUUUUUUUUUUUGAAGGAGCAACUCUUCUUUUUUUUUUUGAGAGCAAAAAGGAGCAACUCUUGAGUAGUUAUAAGUUGUUAUAAUAUUAAUUUUUAAUCUUUUUUUUUACUUUACAAAUUACUCAAUUCAUAGUUCCCUAAAAUAUACCGUGUUGUGUCAUUUAUUUUGCUUAGUUAGAUAUUAAAUUAACUUUAUCCAAAACAAAACAACAAUGGAAUAAGGUUUGUUCAUACAAAGACAUAACUUAUUUAGAGAACAAUUAAUACUAAUUUGAGACAGUUAUGGUGGAACCAUGGGAGGCAUUAUCUCUUCUCACUUUUAAGAAAGCCUUAGAACCAUUAACAGUUGUUGUGAAUUGGGACUCAAAUCUCACACCAAUAAAUAAUGAUGUGUGGAGUAAAGAAAAGUAGUAACCACAAUCAAAGCAAGCAAUCACAAGCAACAACAAUAAUAACAACACCUAGAUCUAAUCUAGAAAUUAAAGUGAAAAGCUCAAAACCACAAGCAUAAGAAAGCAAGAAAGAAAACAACAAACACACCAAAGAUUAGUAACCCAAUUCGGUCUAAUAUAACCUCCUCUGGAGGAGAGAGCACCUCUCCAAUCCACUAAGAUGAAAGUGAUACAAAUGAGUUACAAGAAAUUAGCAUAAGAGCUCACAAAGAACAAAACUUAAUUUCUACCCAUUUUUCAUGUCACUUACACUCUCAAUGAAUCCUAAGAGAAAGCACAAAAGGAAGCUUUUUGAUCUUUCCAAUGGUGAAAUCUCACUACCCAAGAUGUUUACAAUGUUUCCCAACUCAAGAGAACCCCACUACAAAGACACUCAACCCUAAAGUUCUCUCCUUUAUAGUCCCAAGUUUCUCUCUCUUCAAGCUCUCUUUCAAAAUCUGCAUAGAAACACUUAUAUAGUACUCUGCAGCUAUCAAAAUUGUGUCACGAUUGCCAAAUUCGUGUCACGAUUGAUGCAUACGACCCAAUGUACGACCAACCUUAUCUUGAAAACGUGUCAAACAUGCCAAAAAUCGUGUCACAAUUGAACAUCAAACAAAACCAUGCUCACGGUCUAGAAAAUCGUGACACGCCUACCAAAUCAUGUCACGAUUCUGAACUUUCUCAGAAUCACAAUUUCAAGGCAAUUUCAACAAGUUGCAUAAACUCUCCCGUUUGUGAGUGGUAAAGUUUAAUUCCGGCUUGCAGGUGCUAGAUGGAUCACCAAGAAUAUUUUGUUUUCAUUUAGUAAAGUUAAAUUCUAACUCAAAAGAAUCUCAGAAAAUCAAUGCUAAUGUGAGUAUUUGGAGAGACUAAAAACUUACUCGUACCGAAUCUAUGUAACCAAAUUCCUCUCUUUUUACUAUGUUUCAACUUUCUAAUUUUAACUAUCUUAGAUUAUAGUUUUACAGGGUUCAAAUUUGAUGCAAUCACAUUACUAGAGUAAUAAUGUGCUGAUUCCACUUUGCCAUUCGUAGUGAAAUUAAGAAACAAAGGUUUUUUUUUUUUUUUUUUUGACAAAAUUUUAAGAAACAGUUAAAACAACAUAUAUCCGUAAAAGGGACAAACCGGAAACCAAUGCGCCGUGAGCCAUCUUGCCUUCUUGCUGCCACUCCUGCUGCCUCUGGAUGUCGCCGUUCCAACGCUGCCAACAGCCGUCCAUCCCCUACACCACUGGCUAUCUUCACCACUUUGUCCUUUUAAACGACCAUAGAUUGGCAGCGAGAUGGUAGAAUGGGUCACAACGUUGGGGUUGCUGAUGUGGUGGUGUUUCUGACUCAGGUUGGGGAGCAUGCCCUAAUGCUACACGCUCCACAAUAUACAUCCCGAGAACAUCACCGCAUCCAGGUUGAUUCAAUGACUUGCACAACAAGCUUGAAAUACUUGACAUCUAUUUCCAGCUUGAAUUAGAAGUAGUUGAUGUACAAGUUAGCCUAGGAGUAGUUGCUAACUUACUGUUUCUCAAUACAGUUUUAGGAAUUAGUUAUAAUUAGAUAUAAGCUCGUGCGUUGCGCAAAUAUCUUGAAUGUUUUAGUUAUGGAAAAAAAAAAUUAGAGAAUAAAUAACUAUUCUAUUUAUAUAGUCAAGUUGUUGAUAUCAUAUGAAAUUGAAGAUAAGAAUAAGAAAUAUAUAUUGGCAUUAUUAAUUAAAAUAGUUGCAAGUAAAUCGUUGUACCUUGGUGUAAAUUGCCGAGAAAAUAGCAUGCAACUAGUCUGCAAGGAUUAUUAGACGGCAAAUUCUAUGGUAUAUCCAAUAAAUUUGGAUGUAUCGGUACACCAAUUCGUUAAAUUAAUAAUAAAUUAGUUAUUUUUUUGAAGAAAAAUAAUUAUUUUCUAUCAUUGACAACUAUAAUAAUUAAACUUUAUUUACCAAAAUCUUCGACGAAAUAAAAUUUAACUUUUACAAAUUUUUACUACUCAUAAUAAUAAAUAUUGAUUAUUUUUUAUGACAAAAUAUAAAUUUUUUAAUAUAAUCCUUAUAAACAAUGAAAUGAUGUUUUUUCUUAUGAUAUGACGUUUUCUAAAAUAUAAAUAUUGACAAAUAACUUUUUAUUUCAUAAAAAUGAUCGUUAAUUUAUAAGUUUUGUGAAACAAGAGUAUCGGUACACUAAAAUUUCUGAGUAUACCGUAGAAGUUCCCUUAUUAGACUAGAUAUUUUGACCCUAGUUUGAACCCGUAACUUUGUAAUUUUGUACGAGUUUCAUCCUUGAUUUACACUUCUGCAUACCAAAAAAAAAUUAGUAAAUUACGAGAAAUAAUUAUGACACUACCUCAAAUCAAGAGUAUUUAAGCAUACACACAUAAAUGAUAAAAUUUAAAAGAGAAAUAAUUUAGUCACAUCACUUAAUAAAAUUUCUCUUUUAAAUUUUAUCAAUCAUGGGUGUACGCCUAAAUAAAUUUUAUUUAGGGUUGUGUCUAUAUAUGAGUUGCUCUAAAAUUACACUAUCUCUUAUAUUACACCCUCCUCCUCUACUUCCCUUCCUUGACCAUUCUCAUUGGGUUCUUAGCAAUUCACAAAAAUAGAAUUGUCUGCAAGGCUAAUGCAGGGUUGCAUAUUUCUAUAGAGGUUUUAUGUGAUAAAGGGAAAGAAAGUGUACCAUACGUUUGUUAUUUCCAAUUUCCAAAGUAUAACGACUUGUGUGUUGGUUAAUUGGUUUAGUUGACCAAAGUCUACGCAAAGAAUAUUCAACACAUAGAAAGACUUGUAGGAGGGACUUACGUGCUUUAAAUUUGAUGGACACAAAAAUAUCUAUUUACUAUCAAAAUUAUAUGGACCAAAUUGAUUCAGAGUCUAGACAAACUUCAUCUCAUCUAUGUUGUAGCUCAAUGAGGUGAUGUGGCAAAAAAAUCUAGGUUUUAGUUUUAGACCUAAAAGAAGUGAUAUGGCAAACCAUUUAUUAACAUGGCAUAUAACGUUACUUUUGUAAAAUCAUUUAGAUAAAUUAACCAAGUAAUAUCCAGAAGUUCUAGCUCAACUGGCAAAAUGCCGAAAUUGUUAGGCCGGAUGCCAUGACUGGGUUCGAAACCCGGUGCCUCCACUUGUGUGUGUGAGUUUUAUAAUGGCUUUGUCAUUUCGUCUAUCUACCAAAAAAAAAAAAAAAUUAACCAAGUAAUUAUGGUCAAAUGAUUUUGAUCAGACUAUACUUAUCUCACGAUCAAAAUCGAAAUUACCAAAAUUCUCGUCUCAUGAAAAUCAGAGAGUUGACACCAAACAAAGAAUCAUUCAAAUGAACCUCUACUAUGUAGGUCUUAUGAUACAUCAAUAUUUUGUUUGUUUUCAUAAUUCCACUUUUGAAUCUAUAUAUCUUAGCUAAGGAUCCAAAAACUGGAUUUUGAAAAGGGAAAACCAAUUUAGAAGAACAAAAAUAUAGUUCAUAUUUUUAACCAUGCAAAGUCCACUUUAAAAGAACACAAAUCCUUUGUUGAGAUUGUAAAUUAUUUUCAUUUUUAUUUUUAUCAAAAAUGGAAGUAUAUCAUACGUCUGUUAUAUCCAGAUGGUUAAACCAACUUAUGACUUAUGAGUUGACCAGGUCCAAGUCUACACAAAGAUUAUUCAGCAGAGUAAUGACUAAGUGAUGAAAUUUUUAUGGACAAAAACAAUUGCUAUUUUCUAUAAAAAUCAUAUGAAUAAAAUUGAGAUAGAAUCUAAACAUGGCUUCCACUCUACUGCUUCCCUUUCUUCUCUUGUCACUGAUUCUUCAAUCCAUCCAUGUUCUAGCUCAAACCAAAAACACUAUAGCCAUUGGUGAUUCUUUUACUGCUGAAACAAGCAACUCUACAUGGUUGCUUUCCCCUUCUGGUGACUUUGCCUUUGGUUUUCUUCCAAUUCAAGACACUGACCUUUUUUUGCUUUCCAUUUGGUAUGCAAAAAUUCCUGACAAAACUGUUGUGUGGUAUGCUAAUAGAGAAAGUCCUGCACCAGAAGGAUCAAAAGUGGAACUCAAUGCCGAUGAUGGGUUGGUGCUAACUUCUCCAAAUGGUGUCGGGUUAUGGAAUACUACUGAGGUACUUAGUGCUAAAGUUUCUCGUGGUGUGUUCAACGAUACUGGUAAC
rnacentral:lncRNA from 1 species